GGGAUUGUGGCUCAGUGGUAGAGCACUUGCCUGAUAUUUAUGAAGCACUGGGUUCGAUUCUCAGCACCA
rnacentral:tRNA from 1 species